ensembl:lncRNA
UAAAAGCCUUCAAAUCAAUAUCUAGUUUUAAAAUAUGUGAAUGAUUUCUUUUGUAAGAACUGCAUUCUGGAAAUAAUGAUCCAAUCUGGCAGAAAACAAGCUGAGUUAUGUCAAAUUGGGGUUUGGGUAGGGUUAGAUGUGACUAAUCCUUUAUUACUUUAAGGGAUUAGAAAAUAAGAUCUCCUUGCUUUUUAAAAAUUUUCACUCAGGUUCUUCAAAGAUGGAUCUUGAUCACCAUUAAAGCUCCUGCCAUGGUGACCAUGCUUUGAGAUAACUCAGAGGAAUGAGCCAGCAAGAUAUCGCCUUUCCAGUCUCCUCUAGUAUAACAAUUAGAAUGUGAAUCUGAGCCAAGAGAAUUAUAACAAUUGCACAGAGUCAAAUGGCAGGAAAACCAGGUUUUAUUCCUCACACCUCGACUGUCAUUUGUGAACCCCUGUGGAGAGUCUAGAGACUGUGAAGAAUGUCAUAAAUUAGUGCAGAUGAUCUUUAUGCAAAGUGGACAGAGGUGUGGAAUCGCUGUAAAAAGAAUAUUUAUCUAGUAAUUUGAAAGUCUUGUUUGAGAUGUCAGUACACGUAGAAAGACAAAUUGGACAGGCUUGAAAGUUCCAGUUCAGCUAAUUUACCAUAGCUUGUUAAGUUGACCCUAAAUAGGGGGAGAUCGAUUAUUUCCAGUUGCGGUUCUAUGGUAUCAUUAGAACAGCCCAGAUUUGGCCUUUGUGUCAUCUGUUAAAACGGGUGGUGUGUGGAAAUGAUGAGGCCUUGUUAGCCAUAAAUCAAAUUAUAAUGAAAACCUGAAAUCCCAGUAUAAUGCCUGUUGUUAGUUGCAAUGAGAUUUUGAUAAAACACAAAGCCUAUUACAUCUAAAGGAUGAAUACCAUGUUAUUAAUCAGAAUUCCAGCUGCUGUUAAUUUCUAUUUUUAUAUUUAAUUUUUGUUAAUUAAGGAACAGUGUAUUUAUUCAGAGAAAAGACAAUACUUCAUUAAAUAGCUGUUUCAUACAACCGAAAAAGGAAGAUUAUUUGACACCAACUGUGGCAAACAGCAUGUAUUCAUUUGAGAAAGUAUUUGGGGGGAAAUCUUUGCCUACAGAAUAUUGAAUAGAGUGUUUAUAUAUAUAUAUUUAUUGCUUGUUCUCUGUUCCUCUGGAAAUCAUUAAACAUUUUCUCCAGAUGAGGAAGCCUGUUAUCUCUAUUUCUUCAUGAAUUAUUGAAAAAAAUGAUCCAAGUAACACUUCAGGUGUCAGUUCCAUGCUAGGAUGACGUACAGUGCAAUCCAUUGUGACCUUGAGGUGAAUUAACUCAACCCUGAUGAAAUUUGUUGAAGAUAAAAUUGGGAGAUGCAGUCAAAGCAUGAAAAAUGCAAAAGAACCUGAUUAAGUUUUCUUCCUCUAAAGAGGACUGUCAACUUCUUUAGAAGAGGGGGCCCUAUCUUGUUCAUCUUUGUAACCCCUGUGCACCAUGUGGAUCUUAGUUAGAACACAGCAGAUGAUCAAUGGAUGUCGAGUAAUGAAUAUGCCAACAGAAGUGAAAGUGUUGCAUGUUUUUGCUUAGUCCUGAUACUGGGGAGUCACCAGUCCUGUCAACAAAACUUGAGAAGGGUAGAGUGAAAACAACAUGGGGGAAACUGAAUUCUAGAACUGAGUGAAGAGAAAGAAUAUCCAGGCUAAUGGAAGGAGCUAGAAAAUCUCAUCUUUGGUCAGUGUAAGAACUAGAGUAUUGAAAGUCAAGGCCAACAGAAAAUGACAAAGAAGCAAGAGGAAAAGAUCAAUAUGUUAGGAGUUCCAAGCAAGAGUAAGUUCACUUGAAAUUUUAAGACCUCACCCCUUUCAAGGUUUCUCUACUGAACUUCCAGAGGAAAUACUUGGAGUUUUCGAGAGAUGAAAUUCUGGAAACUAUUUAGCUAGACCUAAUUCUAUAGGAGUUUGUUGGUAGGGGGAAAUGAAAGAUUUCUUGGGAGAAAAUAACUAAGCCAUUUUAGAGUUUGUGAUAACCAUGGAUGGGGGAACUUUAGAUGCACGUAAGAGAC